rnacentral:SRP_RNA from 1 species
GCUGAGCAUGGUGAUGCAUGCCUGUAAUCCCAGCUACUUGGGAGGCUGAGGCAGGAGAAUUGCUUGAACCCAGGAGGCGGAGGUUGCAGUGAGCUGAGAUCACACCACUGCCCUCCAGCCUGGGUGACAGAGCGAGACUCUGUCUCAA